UAAAUACUAACCACUUCAACUUCACUAGAUCAGCUAAAACAACUAAAAGAUUUAAUGGAAGGGUGUUUAUAUUAUGGAAGACAAUUAGGUAGGUGGCUAUGAGAGUCCUCUCUCCACAGAUCCAUGUCAGUGUCAACAUUAAGAGGAACCGAGAAUUUGGAAAUCUGGUCCAGGCAGUUCUCCAGCUUUGUUCCAGAUGCAGGAUGAACACAAUUCUAUUGGAAGCAUUUGUGUGCGUGACAUGAUUAGACAAUUAAUAUCCAGCAGAACACCAGACCCUACUCCUCCCAAACAAGUUUGGAGUUAAUCCUAGAAAGCGUAGGUCCUCAGUGGCAUGGGACUUUUUGUAGAGUUGUUUGAUACUCCAUAGU
rnacentral:lncRNA from 1 species